CCCUUAGAUGUUCUGGGCCGCACGCGCGCUACACUGAUGCAUUCAACAAGCCUAGCCUUGACCGAGAGGUCCGGGUAAUCUUUGAAACUGCAUCGUGAUGGGGCUAGAUUAUUGCAAUUAUUAAUCUUCAACGAGGAAUGCCUAGUAAGCGUGAUUCAUCAAAUCGCGUUGAUUACGUCCAUGCCCUUUGUACACACCGCCCGUCGCUCCUACCGAUUGAAUGUGUUGGUGAGGAGCUCGGAUUGGCAGCAGUUGGUGGUUCGCCACCGGCUAUUGCUGAGAAGUCCUCCAAACCGCCCCAUUUAGAGGAAGGAGAAGUCGUAACA
rnacentral:rRNA from 1 species